UUUAACCUGGCAGUAGGUUAAAAAUGCACUUGUCACAAGGACAAAACAUGGAAGAGAAGAAGGAAGCAUGCCCCGCGUACCCGGUCAGGGGCUUCAUAAUCUCCGGGGACCCUACUUCCACAGCGACGGUAAUGGGCUGUGGAAAGUCGAAUGCGACUGUUACCCGGACUAGUCAGGCGGCCACACCGGGUCAGGCUAGUUUGCGAGUUACCGGCGUCGCAGGAGGCCAGUUUGGUACACCCAGGCUGGCUGAAUGUAAUAAAUUUAAAACUUUUCGUAGUUGCUCAUCAGGUGGCGAGGUACCUCUGGACUUCUCAUCAAGUACCUCUAAAGCUGCUGCAGCCCAAACCGCUAAGGCGGUUAAAAACCCUGCUUCGGGUACUGAUGAUAAGGGGUCGGCUAAGUCGUCUCUUACAUCAGCUUCCCAAGUGCCAAUUGUACCUCCAGGCUCAGUGACGGUAUCCUCCUGUCCUGGGGAUGUACCACCCCCUGCCAAGUCCGACAAUCAACAAUCGACUCGGCACAAAAAACCCUCCAAGCGGGCGGCAACUACAAGGCGUUCCGCCUUUAGGAUUAUUGAGCUACUCGGGUCCAAACCACCCGGGGAACUCACUACGGAGCAAUCAGCUUCCCUCCAAUGGGCCAAAGCCCAGAUCGCUGGCAACGACAAUGCUUCUCCUCCCGCCGAAGUGAAAACGGAAGCGGCGCCUAAACGGCAACGUUCAGAGGAGGAAGCAGCUUCCGCAAGCCAGCAGUUAGGGACGAAACGUCCAAAACAGGUGCAGAAGUCAAUGACGCGCUCCUUCAGUGAGGUUGCCAAAGACAGCCUCAUUCGAGCCGUCAUCGACCGAAGCGAUGUUGACGGAUCCAUAUCCCAGUCUAACUGGGAUGUGGUGAAGCAAAAACUCAUGGGAGUGUUCUGGCAAGUUCUCAAAGAGAACCCAGGCACUCCUCCUCAAUGCGAUGACGCUGGAUGGUUCCAGGGUCACGUUAAACUAAUGACAUGUGCAGACGAACGCUCAGCGUUGCUGCUCAAGUCUGCCAUUUCACUAUUGGGUGAGGUAUGGGAUGGAUCUAAGCUUGAUGUGGUGACUCCUGAGGAGAUUCCACGCAGGCCUCGAUCCAUCGCCAAAAUACCGUCUGAGCCCUCCACUCCCGAAGAGAUCUUGGAGAUCCUAAAGUGCUGUAACCCUCAGCUUCCAACAAAUGAUUGGAAAGUUGUAAGGGUUUCAGAGGCUGAUGGACCUUCAAGACAUGUGAUCGUAGUCCUGAAUAAGGAAUCCUUGGAACCGCUGCGAGAAACAAAGAGGAAGGUCUAUUACGGCUUCGGAACGAUCUUCCUCCAUGUUUAUCGUAGCGAUUCCAAGGGCGAUCCCUCUCCGAAGGUGGAGGUGGAUGAUGAGUUGACCGUGCAGUCAACAGAAGGCACGGUUAGCAACACAACCUCUGAUCCCUCCGACAGAGAUGAUGCUCAGUCAGUCUCUGAAUUGAUGAGCAAACUCUCUACUCGGAAGGAUGAGGAGGUCGACGAUGACGACCUUCUGGGUCUAUCCCAGGAGAUCGCCAACGCCGAUGUUGUUACCCCAGGAGAUGGUGAGGUUGACUCAAAUCAAUCUACACCACUCUAAAGCAGCAUCAGCUACAUUGCUCCUCCGAGUGGCGCAGAGAGGGGAGGAGCUUAUAAUGGUCCAAGAACCAUGGAUCCAUCAGGAUCGGGUUUGCGGACUACAACAUAAGGACUAUAAAAUCCUUGAUGAUGAUACGAUUGCAGCCGCACUAGAACAUGGCGACACAACUACAUGGCUGGUUUCAAGCUAUAUGGCCCAGGAUCACGGGGAUUGUCCUCCCAACAACAAUGUCCGAAGAUUGGUAGACAAGGCGAACAUGCACAACAUCCCUGUCGUCAUAUGUGCUGACGCUAAUUCGCACCACAGUAUCUGGGGUAGUAGUGACACCAACACAAGAGGUUAUGUCAUACGGAAAAAUACAGGCAGGUGUGAUAGCAAAAAUUAUGAAACGUAUGUAAAAUAACAAUUUUGACAUACAUUCGGAAUUACAUAUGGAUAAAAAAGUGACAGUACAUACAUGUAUGUAAAAUACAUGUCGUCUAAUACCACCUUUAAUAAGAAAACUCGCUCUUGUAUAGAUCACAUACACAUCAGAACAAACAGAAAAAUCACACAAACACACGCUACAAUAAUGAGGUCAAAUAUAUCUGACCAUUAUUCGCUCUUUUGUUGUAUGAAAGAAGAUAAAGAAACACAAGUAAACCAGGGUACGGGAAACUCACAAAAAAAAAACAGGGAAUGCAAAGCACUCUUUGUCAAGGCUCAACAAUUAACAAUUAUAAAGUAAAUAAAUUCACCAAAGAAAUAAAUUGUAGUCAAUUAGUUACUCAAAAUAUGAAUACUAAUGAAAUAUGCAAUAAAAUAUAUGAAACAUUUAAUAAUAUAUAUCUAAAAUCUAAAUAUACUAAUAAAAACAACACAAAAAGAAGAAAAGUGAAUCCAUGGAUGAGUGAAGAGUUAGUAAGAUAUUGUGAUGUUCGGGAUAAACUUUAUAUUAAAUGGUUAAAUAAUAAAAAUAACGAAAAUUACGAAUAUGAGUAUAAAAAAUUUCGAAACUGCUUAAAUAAAAACUAUAUUACGCAAAAAACAAUUAUUUUAAAAGAAAAUUUACCGAAAAUAAAAACAAUACGCGAGUUACAUGGCAACUCAUAAAUGAAAUUAUUGGUAAAAAAAACAAACAAUAUAGACUCAACAAUUAAAAAUAGCAUCAAAAAUGAAAACUUAAUAAACAUAACAACGCAUUUGCAACAAACUUUAAAGAAAAUGUUCAAAAAAUACUACACAAUUGUGAUAUACAAACUUUUAAAAGCAAACCAAAAACUGUUAUAAAUUCAAUGUUUAUGUCUCUUACCACAGAGGAAGAGAUUUAUGGUAUACUAUGUAGUCUACAACCUAAAAAAGGUCCAAGUGUUGAUCGUAUAAGACCGAAAGAUUUGAAAUGAAAAAAAUCACCCCUGUAAUCCCUCAAUUUAUAAACGAAAGCAUUUUUGAAUCCACUAUAACUAAACUACUUAAAACAUCAUUAAUUCGACCGAUAUAUAAAGCUGGUGCCAAAAAUGAUUAUAACAAUUAUGACCAACUUCAAUACUGCCGGUGAUCGAGAAAGUCCUGGAGGAAAUAUUAGUUCGCAGACUAAACCAAAACCAAUACGGCUUCCAAAAAAGGACAAAUAUUAAUAAACUCUUGGGAAAUUUUGCUACCCACAUCAAUAAGAAUCUAGAGGAUAAUUUACAUUGCCUUGCCCUUUUCAUUGACUUCAGUAAAGCCUUAGAUACGCUUUCUCAUAGUAAUUUAUUGAACAUCCUAGAACGAAACAGUAUUAGAGGAAACUGUCUACUAUGAUUCAAAAAAUGAUUGAAAUGCUUAAUGAAUGUUCGGUUUUUGCUUAUGCAGACGAUACAGCCAUAGUAGUGACACAUAGAAACGUUGAAAUAGCAUGCGAUAUAAUGCAAAAGCAACUUAACCAAGUUUCUAGAUGGUGCCACGACAAUGGACUUGUUAUCUACGCAGCCAAAUCUAAACUCAUGCACAUAAAACCAAAUCAUAUCGCUAGCACUGAAGUCAAAAUAUAUUUUCAUGAUUUACAAUGCCUACAUAACACCAAGAAUCAGAACACGAAUGAUACAUGUUCUACUAUUAUAGAGAUAGUAAAGUCAUACAAAUAUUUCGGCGUAUAUGUGGAUGCAAACUUCAAAUGGCUAACGCACAUACAGCAUGUUAGAAAGAAAUUAAGGAAAGUGUCAUACAGUCUCUACCACUUAAGUAAUUGCUCUACAUUCGACGUACUCAAGCAAGCCUAUUUUUCGCUAGCUGAGUCUUAUAUUAGGCAUGGUAUAACGGCAUGGGACAACUCUACAUAUUGUAAAUCCCUACAACAAACCCAAAAUCAAAUACUAAAAAUCUUAUUAAAACACAAACAACAUAACAGUCAGCAAAUAGAACCUGCCCUAAUAUAUGGUACAACAAACAAUCGCAACUAUUUUACCAUCAGCGACAACAACCUACAAAACAGCACACACACAAUAAAUCCAAACAAUUACCACAGUAGUAACGUCAACACAGCAGUUAGAAUCAACCUUAACACACACAACAACAAUACAAACUCCAAUAUUCAA